rnacentral:rRNA from 1 species
GCUGUCACUUAUAGAUGGGCCGCGGCGCAUUAGCUAGUUGGUGAGGUAAUGGCUCACCAAGGCGACGAUGCGUAGCCGACCUGAGAGGGUGAUCGGCCACACUGGGACUGAGACACGGCCAGACUCCUACGGGAGGCAGCAGUAGGGAAUCUUCCGCAAUGGACGAAAGUCUGACGGAGCAACGCCGCGUGAACGAAGAAGGCCUUCGGGUCGUAAAGUUCUGUUGUUAGGGAAGAACAAGUACCAGAGUAACUGCUGGUACCUUGACGGUACCUAACCAGAAAGCCACGGCUAACUACGUGCCAGCAGCCGCGGUAAUACGUAGGUGGCAAGCGUUGUCCGGAAUUAUUGGGCGUAAAGCGCGCGCAGGUGGUUCCUUAAGUCUGAUGUGAAAGCCCACGGCUCAACCGUGGAGGGUCAUUGGAAACUGGGGAACUUGAGUGCAGAAGAGGAAAGUGGAAUUCCAAGUGUAGCGGUGAAAUGCGUAGAGAUUUGGAGGAACACCAGUGGCGAAGGCGACUUUCUGGUCUGUAACUGACACUGAGGCGCGAAAGCGUGGGGAGCAAACAGGAUUAGAUACCCUGGUAGUCCACGCCGUAAACGAUGAGUGCUAAGUGUUAGAGGGUUUCCGCCCUUUAGUGCUGCAGCUAACGCAUUAAGCACUCCGCCUGGGGAGUACGGCCGCAAGGCUGAAACUCAAAGGAAUUGACGGGGGCCCGCACAAGCGGUGGAGCAUGUGGUUUAAUUCGAAGCAACGCGAAGAACCUUACCAGGUCUUGACAUCCUCUGACAACCCUAGAGAUAGGGCUUUCCCCUUCGGGGGACAGAGUGACAGGUGGUGCAUGGUUGUCGUCAGCUCGUGUCGUGAGAUGUUGGGUUAAGUCCCGCAACGAGCGCAACCCUUGAUCUUAGUUGCCAGCAUUCAGUUGGGCACUCUAAGGUGACUGCCGGUGACAAACCGGAGGAAGGUGGGGAUGACGUCAAAUCAUCAUGCCCCUUAUGACCUGGGCUACACACGUGCUACAAUGGAUGGUACAAAGGGCUGCAAACCUGCGAAGGUAAGCGAAUCCCAUAAAGCCAUUCUCAGUUCGGAUUGCAGGCUGCAACUCGCCUGCAUGAAGCCGGAAUCGCUAGUAAUCGCGGAUCAGCAUG